rnacentral:rRNA from 1 species
UGCCAGCAGCCGCGGUAAUACGUAGGGAGCGAGCGUUGUCCGGAAUCACUGGGCGUAAAGGGCGCGUAGGCGGUUAUUUAAGUCAGAUGUGAAAAACCGAGGCUCAACCUCGGCCUUGCAUUUGAAACUGGAUAACUUGAGGAUGAGAGAGGAAAGUGGAAUUCCUAGUGUAGCGGUGAAAUGCGUAGAUAUUAGGAGGAACACCAGUGGCGAAGGCGACUUUCUGGCUCAUACCUGACGCUGAGGCGCGAAAGCGUGGGGAGCAAACAGGAUUAGAUA